GACGAACGCUGGCGGCGUGCUUAACACAUGCAAGUCGAACGGAAAGGCCCUGCUUUUGUGGGGUGCUCGAGUGGCGAACGGGUGAGUAACACGUGAGUAACCUGCCCUUGACUUUGGGAUAACUUCAGGAAACUGGGGCUAAUACCGGAUAGGAGCUCCUGCUGCAUGGUGGGGGUUGGAAAGUUUCGGCGGUUGGGGAUGGACUCGCGGCUUAUCAGCUUGUUGGUGGGGUAGUGGCUUACCAAGGCUUUGACGGGUAGCCGGCCUGAGAGGGUGACCGGCCACAUUGGGACUGAGAUACGGCCCAGACUCCUACGGGAGGCAGCAGUGGGGAAUAUUGCACAAUGGGCGGAAGCCUGAUGCAGCAACGCCGCGUGCGGGACGACGGCCUUCGAGUUGUAAACCGCUUUCGCCUGUGACGAAGCGUGAGUGACGGUAAUGGGUAAAGAAGCACCGGCUAACUACGUG
rnacentral:rRNA from 1 species